ACUGCGGACAGCAGCUUUAAUUUUAAAGGCACAAUCUAUAUUUUUUCACCACUAGGAGUCGCUAACCUCUUCAAAGCAAUAACAAAGGCAUAGACUGAUGGCGCAGUGAAUGAGCGUGGAAUCAUGGAACUUGUCGUCAUCGAGAAUCGCGGGCGCGAUUGCUAGAGACACAUAUCAGUGCCACACACGAGUCCCCGGGGAUAUAAAGGAAUGAGGACAUUUCAUUCUACCGAACUACUAGCAAUGCUGAAAUACUUCUCAUACAGUUUCCUUGCUAUGGUCCAUAAUGUUUGAAUGAAACAACAGCGUGCCGCUAUACGUUACGCAGCUGUCCAGUCCACAUCUGUUGCCAUGCUUACUAUGCAGUACAAGCGGAAACUGGGGAUAGUGCAGAUAUUGUCAUUGACAAGUGACAAGAUCGGGAAGCUGUGGAGACGUUGCUGCCCGGCAUUCAUCGAUCCACCGCGAGGUACAGCG